rnacentral:rRNA from 1 species
GACGAACGCUGGCGGCGUGCCUAACACAUGCAAGUCGAACGAAGCGGGAGAGCAGCUUGCUGUUUUCCAUGACUUAGUGGCGGACGGGUGAGUAACGCGUGGAUAACCUACCUUUUGCAGGGGAAUAACACAGGGAAACUUGUGCUAAUACCGCAUAAGAUUAUUGAUAGGCAUCUAUUGAUAGUCAAAAGAGUCAAAUCUGGCAGAAGAUGGAUCCGCGUCCAAUUAGCUAGUUGGUGAGGUAAGGGCUCACCAAGGCGACGAUUGGUAGCCGGACUGAGAGGUCGAACGGCCACAUUGGGACUGAGACACGGCCCAGACUCCUACGGGAGGCAGCAGUGGGGGAUAUUGCACAAUGGGGGAAACCCUGAUGCAGCAACGCCGCGUGAAGGAAGAAGGCUUUCGGGUUGUAAACUUCUUUGAUGAGGGAAGAAAAACGGAACAUUAGUUUCGUGAUGACGGUACCUCAGGAACAAGCCACGGCUAACUACGUGCCAGCAGCCGCGGUAAUACGUAGGUGGCGAGCGUUGUCCGGAUUUACUGGGCUGUAAGGGCGUGUAGACGGGAGAGUAAGUCAGAUGUGA